GGGUUGUGAGGUUAAGCGACUAAGCGUACACGGUGGAUGCCCUGGCAGUCAGAGGCGAUGAAGGACGUGCUAAUCUGCGAUAAGCGUCGGUGAGGUGAUAUGAACCGUUAUAACCGGCGAUUUCCGAAUGGGGAAACCCAGUGUGUUUCGACACACUAUCAUUAACUGAAUCCAUAGGUUAAUGAGGCGAACCGGGGGAACUGAAACAUCUAAGUACCCCGAGGAAAAGAAAUCAACCGAGAUUCCCCCAGUAGCGGCGAGCGAACGGGGAGGAGCCCAGAGCCUGAAUCAGUGUGUGUGUUAGUGGAAGCGUCUGGAAAGGCGUGCGAUACAGGGUGACAGCCCCGUACACAAAAAUGCACAUAUUGUGAGCUCGAUGAGUAGGGCGGGACACGUGGUAUCCUGUCUGAAUAUGGGGGGACCAUCCUCCAAGGCUAAAUACUCCUGACUGACCGAUAGUGAACCAGUACCGUGAGGGAAAGGCGAAAAGAACCCCGGCGAGGGGAGUGAAAAAGAACCUGAAACCGUGUACGUACAAGCAGUGGGAGCCUCUUAAUGGGGUGACUGCGUACCUUUUGUAUAAUGGGUCAGCGACUUAUAUUCUGUAGCAAGGUUAACCGAAUAGGGGAGCCGAAGGGAAACCGAGUCUUAACUGGGCGUUAAGUUGCAGGGUAUAGACCCGAAACCCGGUGAUCUAGCCAUGGGCAGGUUGAAGGUUGGGUAACACUAACUGGAGGACCGAACCGACUAAUGUUGAAAAAUUAGCGGAUGACUUGUGGCUGGGGGUGAAAGGCCAAUCAAACCGGGAGAUAGCUGGUUCUCCCCGAAAGCUAUUUAGGUAGCGCCUCGUGAAUUCAUCUCCGGGGGUAGAGCACUGUUUCGGCAAGGGGGUCAUCCCGACUUACCAACCCGAUGCAAACUGCGAAUACCGGAGAAUGUUAUCACGGGAGACACACGGCGGGUGCUAACGUCCGUCGUGAAGAGGGAAACAACCCAGACCGCCAGCUAAGGUCCCAAAGUCAUGGUUAAGUGGGAAACGAUGUGGGAAGGCCCAGACAGCCAGGAUGUUGGCUUAGAAGCAGCCAUCAUUUAAAGAAAGCGUAAUAGCUCACUGGUCGAGUCGGCCUGCGCGGAAGAUGUAACGGGGCUAAACCAUGCACCGAAGCUGCGGCAGCGACACUAUGUGUUGUUGGGUAGGGGAGCGUUCUGUAAGCCUGUGAAGGUGGCCUGUGAGGGUUGCUGGAGGUAUCAGAAGUGCGAAUGCUGACAUAAGUAACGAUAAAGCGGGUGAAAAGCCCGCUCGCCGGAAGACCAAGGGUUCCUGUCCAACGUUAAUCGGGGCAGGGUGAGUCGACCCCUAAGGCGAGGCCGAAAGGCGUAGUCGAUGGGAAACAGGUUAAUAUUCCUGUACUUGGUGUUACUGCGAAGGGGGGACGGAGAAGGCUAUGUUGGCCGGGCGACGGUUGUCCCGGUUUAAGCGUGUAGGCUGGUUUUCCAGGCAAAUCCGGAAAACCAAGGCUGAGGCGUGAUGACGAGGCACUACGGUGCUGAAGCGACAAAUGCCCUGCUUCCAGGAAAAGCCUCUAAGCAUCAGGUAACAUCAAAUCGUACCCCAAACCGACACAGGUGGUCAGGUAGAGAAUACCAAGGCGCUUGAGAGAACUCGGGUGAAGGAACUAGGCAAAAUGGUGCCGUAACUUCGGGAGAAGGCACGCUGAUAUGUAGGUGAAGCGACUUGCUCGUGGAGCUGAAAUCAGUCGAAGAUACCAGCUGGCUGCAACUGUUUAUUAAAAACACAGCACUGUGCAAACACGAAAGUGGACGUAUACGGUGUGACGCCUGCCCGGUGCCGGAAGGUUAAUUGAUGGGGUUAGCGGCAACGCGAAGCUCUUGAUCGAAGCCCCGGUAAACGGCGGCCGUAACUAUAACGGUCCUAAGGUAGCGAAAUUCCUUGUCGGGUAAGUUCCGACCUGCACGAAUGGCGUAAUGAUGGCCAGGCUGUCUCCACCCGAGACUCAGUGAAAUUGAACUCGCUGUGAAGAUGCAGUGUACCCGCGGCAAGACGGAAAGACCCCGUGAACCUUUACUAUAGCUUGACACUGAACAUUGAGCCUUGAUGUGUAGGAUAGGUGGGAGGCUUUGAAGUGUGGACGCCAGUCUGCAUGGAGCCGACCUUGAAAUACCACCCUUUAAUGUUUGAUGUUCUAACGUUGGCCCGUAAUCCGGGUUGCGGACAGUGUCUGGUGGGUAGUUUGACUGGGGCGGUCUCCUCCUAAAGAGUAACGGAGGAGCACGAAGGUUGGCUAAUCCUGGUCGGACAUCAGGAGGUUAGUGCAAUGGCAUAAGCCAGCUUGACUGCGAGCGUGACGGCGCGAGCAGGUGCGAAAGCAGGUCAUAGUGAUCCGGUGGUUCUGAAUGGAAGGGCCAUCGCUCAACGGAUAAAAGGUACUCCGGGGAUAACAGGCUGAUACCGCCCAAGAGUUCAUAUCGACGGCGGUGUUUGGCACCUCGAUGUCGGCUCAUCACAUCCUGGGGCUGAAGUAGGUCCCAAGGGUAUGGCUGUUCGCCAUUUAAAGUGGUACGCGAGCUGGGUUUAGAACGUCGUGAGACAGUUCGGUCCCUAUCUGCCGUGGGCGCUGGAGAACUGAGGGGGGCUGCUCCUAGUACGAGAGGACCGGAGUGGACGCAUCACUGGUGUUCGGGUUGUCAUGCCAAUGGCACUGCCCGGUAGCUAAAUGCGGAAGAGAUAAGUGCUGAAAGCAUCUAAGCACGAAACUUGCCCCGAGAUGAGUUCUCCCUGAGACUUAGAGUCUCCUGAAGGAACGUUGAAGACGACGACGUUGAUAGGCCGGGUGUGUAAGCGCAGCGAUGCGUUGAGCUAACCGGUACUAAUGAACCGUGAGGCUUAACCUUACAACGCCGAAG
rnacentral:rRNA from 1 species